AACGAACGCUGGCGGCAUGCCUAACACAUGCAAGUCGAACGGGCUCUUCGGAGCUAGUGGCGCACGGGUGCGUAACGCGUGGGAACCUGCCCUUAGGUUCGGAAUAACUCCUCGAAAGGGGGGCUAAUACCGGAUAAUGUCUUCGGACCAAAGAUUUAUCGCCUUUGGAUGGGCCCGCGUAGGAUUAGGUAGUUGGUGGGGUAAAGGCCUACCAAGCCGACGAUCCUUAGCUGGUCUUAGAGGAUGAUCAGCCACACUGGGACUGAGACACGGCCCAGACUCCUACGGGAGGCAGCAGUGGGGAAUAUUGGACAAUGGGCGCAAGCCUGAUCCAGCAAUGCCGCGUGAGUGAUGAAGGCCUUAGGGUUGUAAAGCUCUUUUACCGGGGAUGAUAAUGACAGUACCGGGAGAAUAAGCCCCGGCUAACUCCGUGCCAGCAGCCGCCGUAAAAC
rnacentral:rRNA from 1 species